GUGUUCUCUCUCCAAUCCAACCAAGAACCCUAAUUUUCUUCCCCCAAUUUCUUCUUCCAACCAAGAACCCUAAUUUUCUUCCCCCAAUUUCUUCUUAACAGCUUGCUCCGACGUGGUGGCUCAGAGAGUGGUUCAAAUUCUGGAAGAUUGGCUAGGUUCCAUCAUUAGCAGAAUCAGGAAAUAUGUCUAUCGAAGGAGAUGAACCCGUAAUUCAAAUUGAGGACGAAGUUGAUGAAAGUUCAGUCCCUAGUUCAAAAAGAACAAAAACUUCUAUGGCUUGGGAAUUUUUUGAAAAGUUUUUUGACGAUAAAGGGCUUCCAAAGGCAAAAUGCAAAAAUUGUGAUAAAAUUUACAUGGCUAGAGAUGGUGGUGGCACUUCAAAUUUGAUAAAACAUUCGCUGAGAUGUGUUGGAAGAGGGAAUGGAUCUUCUUAUCCUCCACUUGAUCAAGAAAAGUAUAGGGAAAAGAUUUCUGAGGAAUUGGGAGUUAGAGAAAAAAGUAUUAUCCUUCAUUCAUUGUCCACCACCUCACAGCGGUUUUAAGUUGGCUGAGAAGUUAAUAAGUUUGUUAAAGGAGUGGGGUAUUGAGAAAAAAAUAUUCACAAUUACUUUAGACAAUGCAUCUAACAAUGAUGUUAUGGUGAAUAUAUUGAAGAAACAUUUAUUAUCAGGAUUAGGAUUGAUAGCUGAAGGAACAUAUUUUCAUGUUAGAUGUGGAGCACACAUCUUAAACUUAAUUGUUCAUGAUGGUUUAAAGGUGAUAGAUGGAUCUUUGGAUAAAAUUAGAUUGUGUGUGAAAUACAUAAGAGGCUCAGAGGCUCGAAAAUUAAAGUUUGCAUCUUGUUUAGAGCAACUCUCAAAUGUGACUUCUAAGCAAGUUCGUCAAGACUUGCCUAUUAGGUGGAAUUCCACUUAUCUGA